rnacentral:rRNA from 1 species
GACGAACGCUGGCGGCGUGCCUAAUACAUGCAAGUUGAGCGAUGAAGAUUGGUGCUUGCCCCAAUUUGAAGAGCAGCGAACGGGUGAGUAACGCGUGGGGAAUCUGCCUUUGAGCGGGGGACAACAUUUGGAAACGAAUGCUAAUACCGCAUAACAACUUUAAACAUAAGUUUUAAGUUUGAAAGAUGCAAUUGCAUCACUCAAAGAUGAUCCCGCGUUGUAUUAGCUAGUUGGUGAGGUAAAGGCUCACCAAGGCGAUGAUACAUAGCCGACCUGAGAGGGUGACCGCCACAUUGGGACUGAGACACGGCCCAAACUCCUACGGGAGGCAGCAGUAGGGAAUCUUCGGCAAUGGACGAAAGUCUGACCGAGCAACGCCGCGUGAGUGAAGAAGGUUUUCGGAUCGUAAAACUCUGUUGGUAGAGAAGAACGUUGGUGAGAGUGGAAAGCUCAUCAAGUGACGGUAACUACCCAGAAAGGGACGGCUAACUACGUG